GAAAUGUUGAGAAUAAGGUUGAAAUACUAUUUCAAGAAUGAAGUCGAAAUGUUGACAAUAAAGUUGAAAUACUAUUUCAAGAAUGAAGUCGAAAUGUUGACAAUAAAGUUGAAAUACUAUUUCAAGAAUGAAGUCGAAAUGUUGACAAUAAAGUUGAAAUACUAUUUCAAGAAUUAAGUCAAAAUGUCGAAAAUAAAGCUGAAGAACUAUUUCAAGAAUAUAAUGAAAUACUAAUUAGAGAAUAAAGUUGAAAUGUCGAGAAUAAGGUUGAAAUUCUGUUUUGAGAAUAAAGUUGAAAUGUCGAGAAUAAAGCUGAAAAACUAUUUCAAGAAUAUAGUCAAAAUCUUGAGAAUAAAGAUGAAAUACUAAUUAGAGAAUAAAGUUGAAAUGUCGAGAAUAAGGUUGAAAUUCUGUUUUGAGAAUAAAGUUGAAAUGUCGAGAAUAAAGCUGAAAAACUAUUUCAAGAAUAUAGUCAAAAUCUUGAGAAUAAAGAUGAAAUACUAAUUAGAGAAUAAAGUUGAAAUGUCGAGAAUAAGGUUGAAAUUCUGUUUUGAGAAUAAAGUUGAAAUGUCGAGAAUAAAGCUGAAAAACUAUUUCAAGAAUAUAGUCAAAAUGUCGAGAAUAAAGCUGAAAUACUAAUUAGAGAAUAAAGUUGAAAUGUCGAGAAUAAGGUUGAAAUUCUGUUU